CAGAUGGAGAAACAGAGGCUCAGAGAAAAAGAUGGCCAACUGAUGGCGAAGCAGGCCCAGGGCCAGGGGCCAGGACUCUCAGACCAGAGCCCUUCCCAGGGCUUGGGUCUUGAGAGGGAGAAUUUUCCUCACCCCCGGACCAUUGAAUCACCGUCUCAGGUCUACAGGAUCACUGAGGCUUCUCAGAUUUGUUCAUAGAGCCAGACGCUUUUUCCACCAUCCUGAAGACCGCACUUUCCUAAGAUCACAGUCUGAGCGUGCUCCCUACUCAUGUCACGGCAGAGUGCCAAAGGGAAGAACCCGGCGCUGCAAGCGAGAUUCCGGAGACUCGACCAGUGGCCCGAGCUGCAGACUCUGGAGAGCCAAAGCCGGGACAACACGUAAGGAGCAUGGGACACUGAGCUCGUUUAAAAAGCAGCAAGUUUCACCAUCAUCAUCUUCAGACCUGCAGAGUUUUAGACCCCAGCAAGAAUAUUUAUUGCUCACCAAAGCCAAGUGGAUUUCCAAAAUCCUGGACUGGAGCAUGCAGCCCCAAAUUGCACUUCAGAAAUGACCCUUGAUUUAUGAAAAUACAGCUUCCCCUAACUGCACUUGCAUUCUGUAAAAAUGGACGGAUGCUUCCUUUUCCUUGGAGCAGGACGCGGUAGACGCACCACAGAGCAGCGUGGGGCUUCUCUCCAUCACUCGGCACGAUGGAUCCCUGCUUUCCACCUCCAGGGUCUUUGCUUUUAUCACUCAGCAGCCUUUUUUCAGAGGUUUGCAGAGAGCCGGAAGUGCCUGGAAAUUUAAGUCUCCAACUGGUGGCUCUUGACCAACGUUUGAUGAUAGGGACAUAUGGAAGCCAAGCUCCUUUGUCUGGGUUGGAAUAACUCUGGGGAGUGACUUACAUCGCAGCGUUCACCCUGGGGUCAGGCCAAGGCUGCCCUCAGGGGCACUUUGCCCAGGGUCAUGGCCCACACUGGCUGGCUUCUCUCCACCCCUGUCCUGCUUCCCCCACACCUUAUCUGGUUUCUCCUGGGAGUGCUCUCUUAAUAAAUCCUCAACCUAGGGGCCA
rnacentral:lncRNA from 1 species